UCUGCCACCCAGGCUCACUAUAGCUUUGACGCCACCAGCCCCAAGUGCUCUCUUCCCUCCUCAGCCUCCCAAGUAGCUGGGACUACAGGUGUGUAUCACCAUGCCUGGCUAACUUUAAAAAAAUAUUGAGUAGAUAUAAGAUCUAGCUGUGUUGUCCAGGCUGUUCUCAAAUGCCUGCAUUCAAACAAUCCUCCCCUGUCUCGGCCUCCCAAAGUACUGGGAAUACAGGCAUGAGCCAUUGCUCCUGGCCCAGUUCAUUCAUUAAUUCAACAAAUAUUUAGACGACUAUUAUAAGCCAGGUAUGAGGAAAGGAACGAAAGAGAGGUGUAAGAGAGGUGUAGGAAUUAAAUGGGACAACAUAUAUGAAAACAUCCUGUAUGCUCUUGGUUGCUACGAACAAGAACCAUAACAGAAAGGCCUCAAAGAAAUAGAGAGGCAACCUAGAAUAAAGAUGAAAAUAAUGCAAUAGUCUAUUCUGAUGAGGGCUUUGAAAUAGAAAGUGAGAAUUUGAGGACUGAUUUCUAUAACAGUGGGCAAAUUACUGCAGUGUCUUAGUAAGGUAAGCGAGGCUAGAGAAAAACAGAACUGUGCCGGGCACAGUGGCUCACGCCUGUAAUCCCAGCACUUUGGGAGGCCAAGGCAGGAAGAUCAUUUGAGGUUGGGAGUUCAAGACCAGCCUGACCAACAGGGAAAAACCCCAUCUCUACUAAAAAUACAAAAAAUAGCCGGUGUGGUGGCACAUGUCUGUAGUCCCAGCUACUUGGGAGGCUGAGGCAAGAGGAUCCCUUGAACCCGGGAGGCGGAGGUCGCAGUGAGCCAAGAUCACGCCAUUGCACUCCAGCCUGGGCAACAAGAGGAAAACUCCAUCUCAAAAAAAAAAGAAAGAAAGAAAGAAAGAAAAAGAAAAAUAGAAUUGUAAUGGGAUGGAGGAUUUGGGAUAAUGGAUCAAAGAAGAUGAACUUCUACCAUGAAGAGUUUGAGCACAUUCUUGUCCAGUGUUCACCUGACCUGAUAAAGAGGACUUUAACUGACCAUGAAGUGGUUCCUGCUUCUUGAUAAGAUCUUCCCCAACAGUCUGUGCUGUUCUGAGCAAGUCUGGCUGGUUGUUGAGCCUCUGCUUUCCCUCUCCGAUUUGACCUGUUGGAUUCCAGGUUCUGACACCAAAAGGCUGACUGCUUCAAGCAAACACACUAACAAGCAUCCAAAUUGGGGCUGCAUUUGAGUCACCUGGGAAGUUUACAUUAUAUGCCUAGUACAGUGAUUCUGCUAUCUUUGAAGAACAUUUCUGAAAUUCCUUUGUUGGAAUUUCAUGGGGUUACAGUCAGACUCAUAGAAACCAUUAACCCAGCUCUACUCUUUACUUCAUAUGUGGGAACACCAAGGUUCUGGAGCUUUGGAAUCCACUGAGACCACACGUCCAAUUCCAGGCACAGCUGAAACCUAUCAUUUGCUUCCCUAAGAUAGGACUUUUCUUCAGUGCCAUUUACAAGCCACAGAAGAAAUCCUAAGAAUUCCUAAGAUCUCCUGAAUCUAUAGCAGUGGUUGUUCGUCUUUUUUUAAUCUUGGAGUCCUUGGGGAAAAUCUGUUAAAGCUAAAAACAAGAUCCCUCAGUAAAGAACACAUAUAGCCGGGCAUGGUGGCUCACGCCUGUAAUCCUAGCACUUUGAAAGGCCGAGGCAGGUGGAUCACUUGAGCUCAGGAGUUCAAGACCAGCCUGGGCAACAUGGUGAAACCCGAUCUCUACCAAAAAUACAAAAAAUUAGCCAGAUGUGGUGGUACGCACCUGUGGUCCAAGCUACACGGGAGGCCGAGGUGGGAGGAUCUACCUCUUCAGCCUGGGACUCAGAGGUUGCAAUGAGCCAAGAUAACACCACUGCACUCCAACAUGGGUGACAGAGUGAGACCCUGUCUCAAAACUAAAUAAAUAAAAAAAUAAAAACACACAUACACUAAAAACUUUCACAGACUCGAGGAUGAGAACUCUUGCCCUAUGUCAGCAUACAAACGCCUUCCUCCAAAUUUCAACAGCAGUUAUUAUGCAGCAAAAUCAUCUUCCUUAUACUCCAGACCUGCAGCCAAAGGACUUCUGGCUCUUCCCAACUAUCAAAUCCCGAAAGGAACGAAAUGUUCCUGUGCUGAGGAGGUCCAAAAGAAUGUGCUGUAGACUCAAAAGCCAUUUCCACAAGGAGCAUUCCAAGGAUAUUUGAAGAAAUCCAGAGUCCCUGGAAAGCAGAACUUCUCCGGAUGACCACCUGGCAGAGGUUAGCAUCUGCGUGCCUGUGCUGGUCGGUUCUUAAAUAAUCAGUCCCUUUCCCAGGCAAAGCUCAUGGGGAGCCUUUGGUGUGAUAACUUCUUAUAUGCUAAUAUAAUAAUGGACAAUUCCAAAGCUCAGCAGAAAGCCCCCCCUUCAGCAGCCUUCUCCAUGCAGGCUUUUGGAACCAUGCCAGGCAGUUAUGUGCAUCUGCCUUCCUGUUCCCAAGCUUUAUAUAAACAUUUACCUCUAUUUUCAUUUCUACUUCUCUUAACAGACUCUGGGUACAGGCAUAAAGGUCUGAGACUGGAUUCAUGCAUUCAUCAUUUAUAUGUCUAUUUGACAUAUAUGAAGAGGCCACCAUAUGUCAGCACUGCUAAUACAAUGGUGAACAAAAUAGUACUGCAGCAAGGCAGGCAGGCCAGGUGUGGUGGCUCGUGCCUGUAAACCCAACGCUGUGGGAGGCUGAAGCAGGAAGAUCACUUGAACCCAGAAGUUUGAGAUCAGCCUGAGUAACAUACUGAGACCUCCUCUACUAAUUUUUUUUUUUUUUUUUAAUUAGCUGGGCAUGGUGGUACAUGCCUGGUAGUCCCAGCUACUCCAGAGGCUGAGAUGGGAGGAGGAUCGCUUGAGCCCAGGAGUCUGAGCUUGCAGUGAACUAUGAUUCACUGCAUAUAUACCACUGCACUUCAGCCUGGGUGACAGAGGGAGACCUUGUCUCAAAUAAAUAAAUAAGAGAGAGAAAAAAAAACAGGCAAACAAGCAUCACAUAACAAAAUCCUAUCCCUUGGGAAAUACAGAAUACUUUAUAGGACAGCUUGGUCUCUUUGGGGUAAAGGAACCUUUUAACUUAAGAUCUGAUGUACACCUUUCCAGGGCCCUGCACAGUGUAUGUGCUCAAUCUGAAACUACCCUAGGCAAAAUCAUCUGGGCUUGCUGGAGAGGUCACUAACGGGCCAUUGCUAGUCAAUUUAAGAGUGGCUGUGGUGAGCCAGGAGCUCAGGGCCUGAGCAUUCCGAAAGCCAGCUAGCAUCAGGUGCAGGUUGUCACCUCCUUCAGCUCUUUCUGACACAUCUGUGAAGUGGCAGGAAACGCAAAUAGACGUAGAACUCUGUAGGGUUCAGUUCCGGGGUCUGCCGCUGAUUACAUUCAUGUGUUCUCACUUGUCCUCUUGUAUAAUGAUGCCACCUUCCAGAGCAAAGAAAGCUAUGAAAGCCUGUUGUGAAUGUAAGGACAUGGAAUCUAUCUAUUUAUCUAAUCUAUCGCCAGUCUGCCUCAAUUUGUAGGGGAAGAAGAGAGCAAGGUAAACAAUAAGUUUAGAAAAACUACAGGGACACUGCCAUGUAGGGCCUGUGCCUCAAGCCUUUUGCUGUCUCGCAUGACCUGGAUUUGGCAAGGAGGGGGCAGCUUGAAUUCCAGGCGGGCUAAAAGGCCUUGGCUGAGAAGCUCUAGCGGAUUUCACAACACAGUCUGCAAAGGCUUCCCACGAAGGGAUGGGGUAGGGGGAUGGGGAAAGCUGCAAUUCUGCAAACUGGGAAAGGGUAGGAGGUGGGAGGUUCCCGAAAGGCAGGAUGGAGUAGCGAUUGGUUACUGACACUACCCACCCCACCAACCAACCCCCUCCAAAUCUCUGCCUUAACAACCGCAGCCUGCAAGCUGUGUUAUCACAAACUUGCACCGCAGGCACUACCUAGGAACCCAGCCAGCCCUAAGGGAACAGCCGCACGAGAGAAGCGCGGGAGGAGCAUCCCCGACCUGCGGCAGCCGCGCAUGCGCACCGCUUACUCUGCGUUCCAACACCUAACACUCCUCUACGCCACCUCGAUCCGGAGAUUAAAGGAGCCUUCUCCCUUUUCAUCCCCAGCUGUGCCCCAUGCUCAAUACACAGCAACUCCAGAGUCCUCAAGCAGCUGUGCGGCGGUGGGGGCAGAAGGAAACUAGUCAAGAAGCACUCGGGCCUAGCUCGAAACUACAACUCCCAGCAGAAUCCGCGCCUCCCCGCCUACUUAUGGGCGGGCAGAGAGCCUCCAGCGGCUUAAAGCGGCGAGAUCGCUACGUGUCUGGAUGUAUGAGUGCCUAGUCCGCUCUCUGUGAGCCGGCGCUGGGAGGGCAGAGAGAGCGGUGGCGUCUUUCUGUCUCUGCCUGUUGUACCUGAGCUAGCAAACAGCACAAUUGAAAUAAACAACCUCUGAGCGCGUUUAGAGGCGUCUCUCAGGUUCAGCAA